rnacentral:rRNA from 1 species
ACGGCCAUACCACAUUGAAAACACCAGUUCUUGUCCAAUCACUGAAUUUAAGCAAUUUCAGGCCCGGUCAGUACUUGGGAGGGUGACCACUUGGGAACACCGAGUGCUGUAGGCU